rnacentral:lncRNA from 1 species
GAUAUAGACAUAAAACCAUGGGAUUACCAUCCCGAACGAGAUAUAGAUACAAGACCAUGGGAUUAUCAUCCCGAACAAGAUAUAGAUUCUAAACAAAAUCCUAGCUGUGAAUAAGUUUAUAUUAAUACGUAUUGUGAGUCGGGUAACCAUGCUGAUAUGACAACGAGACCUCCUUGACGUUAGUCAGACGUCGAANNNNNNNNNNNNNNNNNNNNNNNNNNNNNNNNNNNNNNNNNNNNNNNNAUAGAACCCCAAAUUAUUCCCAUAAUAAUUUGAUUAGUUUGAUUAUUUUCUUAACUAAAAUCCAUUUAGUUGUAAUCGAUAAAUCAUUCCUUAUGCUCAACAUAAUACAUAAGGAGUAAAAGAGUUUAUAAGUUGCCAGAUAUUAUUUGAAAUACAUCAAUGUUAUAAUUCGAAAACAGUUAUAGUUUUGCUUGUAUUCCCCCCCUGAAAACAUUGAAAAACACUGAAAAAGGCGUAGGGGUAUGAACUCACCGGACGAGAAAUGUGACGAUUCGGAUGCUAAGAGUUGAUCCGGGGCUUGUAAAUACACGAGGUUCCUAAUUAUAAUGUAAAGAUACACAUUUGUAUCUAAUUAGGACUUAGUUUAUUCAUAUGAUAGGGACACUUGCUUCAAGUCGCGAAAACACUCCGAUACGAGUGUUUGGAGGGACCCGGGUGGCGUUUAAGGACGUGAAUGAUGCAAGGGACUUAGGAAAUGAGUUGGGACUUCAAAGGAACACCCCCUUUAGGGUGUUUACGGCCACAAGAACCAUUCCCCAUGAUUUUACGGCCGUAAACUCAUGGUGGGUUCAAAUAUGGGCAAAAAUGACUUCAAACACUUAGGGGAAUUUUUUCUAGGUUUGGUUCAAAGUCUUGGAAUGGAUUUUUAUCAUCAAAAUGACACAUUUUAGGGAGUUUACGGCCUAGCAUGGUCUCAUGGCCGUAAACUCCUAUAAAUCCAUGAAAAGUUGUGUUUUUGGAUCCCAAACUAAUCACAUGUGAUUGCUAAAAUUGUACCAAAGCCUUAUAUGCAUUUGUUUGAAAUUUUGAAGGGAUUUUUGGAGUUUACGGCCAAUGAGACCCUUCUCAUGGCCGUAAACUCUCAUAGAGAGUAAAUCCUUGUGUUUUAAUGCCAAGAACUUGUUUGCAUGGACUUCUAAAAUUCAUUCCAAGGCUUUAGGGGUGGUUUAAUGACAUUUUGACAUGGUUUUAUGAUUUUACGGCCAAAGGCUAUGUGCUUAGGCCAUAAACUCCUAAAUGUGACGCAUUUGAUGUGUUUAAGGCCUCCAAACCAUUUUUAGAUGAUUCUAGGAUUUACCACAAGGUCAUUGGCUGAGUUUCAGGGCAUUUGGGCAUGUUUUAGGGCACUUAAUCCCCCUUUUAGAGGAGUUUACGGCCCAAGCACAUACCUUGGCCGUAAGCUCUUAUUUGUCCCCCAAAAAUGAUGUUUCAAGUGUCUAAAUGCAAUUAUCAAUGUUCUAUAAUUCAUAACUAAGACAUAUAAGUGAUUUGGAAGGGUUUAAGGGCAUGAAAACCCUAGAUAUAUGAGUUUACGGCCCAAGAAUGAUCCUUGGCCGUAAACUCCUUCAAACAUCACAAAGUUCAUGUUUUAAAUGUUCUAAGUCCAUAUCUUGAAGUCCCUUAGCCAUAUCUAAAGUCCAAAUGAGUUUAGGAAGGAGUUUAAGGGCUUAAAACCCUUCAAAUUGGUGUUUACGGCCUANAUUGUUUAGAGUCCAUAUCUUGAAGCCAUUUAGCCAUAUCUAAGUCCCAAACUUGUCAAGGAGGGGUUUAAGGGCUUAAAAACCCACUUAAUAUGAGUUUACGGCCAAUGAAUGCUCCAUGGCCGUAAACUCAUGAAUAUGGUCAUAAAUCAUGUUUUGAACUUGAAUUUGAAGGCUAAGGAGGUUACAAUACAAGCUAAGGAGUGUACCUUAGAGAUUUGAAGCCUUAAAUUUGAGUUUUGGACCCUUAAACUUGGAUUUAGGAGAGAGGUUAGAGAGAGAGUAGAGAGAGAAGGAAAAAGCUUCAAAUGGAUGCUAAAACACGUUUAUAUAGGUCUUAAAACUUGUACGCGGUGGAAUUCUACCCGAUACCGACGUUAAACGCAGCUUUUGGUCGCACCCGAUUAAGUUACCGUCACCCAGCGGGGACAUUUUUAAAACUUAUGAAAUAAUUAUAUUCGGGCUAAUUACGUGAGUUCCUGAGUGAUUUAGACACUUAUUAAAUUAAAAUCAACGUAUAAGUUUAUAUAAUUAACCCAAAGAGAAAACAGAACGAAUUUGAUAACGGCGACCUUUCGGGUAGAACGGGUUUUGGCGAUGAACAAUUUCAGGUUGUUACAUUAUCCCCCCGUUAGAGGGAAUUUCGUCCCGAAAUUCAAAGAAUAACACAUAGAUCAUGAGUUUGAAAUGAGACUCGAAUGGAUUUGUUAGAUUGGAUCUUCACUUUCUCAAGUGGAAUCGAGUCUCUACUAGGCGUUCUAGUGAAUUCUCACUAUCGGGACGUGUCCUUGUUUCGUACCUUGAUUCUCUCUCAAUCUAUGUUAUCAAUCGGUUUUCUCUUGGAAGUUCCAACCCUGGACGACUUCGGUUUCCUCAAGGAAUUACUAGGGUUUCGUUGGGUAGAAGCUUCUAAGGAUUCGAGACAUGAUGUACUGGAUAGAUGUUAACAAGUUCUACGAGCAUCCGAACCUUGAAGAUUGUAAAAUCAAUCUCUACGAAGAUCUCGAAAAGUAUGGCGUGGAACUAAACUUUAGACGUUCGAAUGAAAUUCCCGGAAACUCUUCGGGACAAAUAUUUUAGUAGAAAGGGCUACUAACUUCUCGUUUCUUAAUGAUCACAGAAACGAGGAAUGUGUGGUAAUUCGUAUAAGGAAAACUCUUGAGUUUUAAAGCAUGAACAAUACAAAGCUUUGAUGCCGAAGAUCAUGAGAGUUGGGUUGAGGAAAAGAUAUAAACAGGCGACCCUCUCGAAAUCAAGAUAACAAUAUGAAUGAGACUCAGUCAUUCCAUGUUAGACGUAGCAUCAAAGCAUUCCCGUGAAAAGUUUCCCAUUUAACCGAAUAGAACAGAAUAGUCCUCUGGACUGAGGAUUCAAUCUAUAGGUAUGAAGUUAGUGUUCUCUAUCUCACUAGUUAGUCGUCUCGACGGUACACAUUUUGAUUAUAUGCGAAGGAUUGAGUUUUGAAAUUGUUCUAAUAGAUAGAUAACAGGUUUCCCUUUUGUACCAAAAUCGAAAAGAGUUGCAAGUAUAAGAAUUAUCAAAGAGAAUAUACCUGCAGCAACAGAGGGAUUUGUGGUUGUAGCUGUCUUGGGACAAUUCCUUUUGAAGUGUCCAGCUUCACCACAAUUGUAACAGGCCGGACUGAUUCCCGUUCCGGAUGAUUGGUUCGUUGGCUUGGUUGGUUUUCUGCAGGUUUGCGCAAGAUGGCCCUUAUUGCCACAGUUGUCGCAGAUCCUUUUGCGACAUGGACUAGAAAUGCGGUGGUGGUAGUUGCACUUACCACACCAAGGAAGGGUACCAGUGUAUCCACUGGCAGGAGUUUGGGCUGUGGAACCGACAGCUGAAACAGCAACAGGGGCAGUAGCAGCAUGGACUGCUACCGUUUGCUGUUUCUUAGAAGACCCUUGCGUACUCUGGGCCUUCCGUUUGUUCCAGGAUUUCUUUUUGCUUCCGCCUCCACUGGUGACUGGCUCGGGGGUAGUAGCUUCUUCAUCAGAGUUGUCUUCGUGAUCUAUCAGGAUUUUCGCAAGACACUUGGCACUGUCAUAAGUGUCUGGCUUCGCAGCCAAGACAUUCCCUUUUGUUGGCUGGGUCAAACCCCAGAUGAACCUCUCUAUCUUUUUACUUUCCGGGGUAACCAUUCCCGGACAAAGUAAUGCCAAAUCAUCGAAUCUUGAGGUAUAAGCAGCUAUGUCGGAACCCUUCAUCUUAAGGUUCCAAAGUUCGUGUUCUAGUUUCUGAAGUUCGCCCCGAGGGCAAUACUCUGCGAGAAGAAGCUCCUUCAUAGCUUCCCAACCCAUAGCAUUGGCUACAGGUAAAGUUAAGGAUUUGACUCGGCCAUUCCACCAAGUCAGGGCUUUGUCUAGGAAGGUACAGGCGGCAAACUUGACUCUAUCAGACUCCGAACAGCCACAUAUUUCAAAGAUUGAUUCGAUUCUCUCGAACCAUCGGGUUAAGGCAAUGACACCCCCUGUGCCAUCGAAGAAUGUCGGUUUUGCGUUCAUGAAGUCUUUAUAGGAACCCCCUUUUUGGUGUCCCUGGCUAUCAUCUGGGUUUUGGGUUUCACCUCCCGAACCCCUAGAGUUCAGUUGAGGUAAGAGAGCUGAUAUGGUAGCGGAAAUGGUUGCCUGAAGUGUUUCCAAAUCGAUCUGAAUAGGAGGUGGUGGCGGAGGAGGAUUGUUGUUGUUCGUUGAGCUGGGUCUCUUUCUUGGAGGCAUCUUGAUCUAAAAAGAUCAGGAAAGAGAGGAUCAUAAGUCCUCUGAAUUGAAUCAAGAGAUAUGGGACAGGAGAUAUCUCAUCAAGGCAAAUAUAGCAUCAUACUAAGCGAUAAAGCAGAAAGGAGUUAUCAAGAUAGAACAUUUUAUUGCUAGAGGAAUAAUCGAGGAAUAACGCGUAUACAGGAAUUUCUAUAAAGGAUUGGCUCGAGAAAUACUCCCAUAGUAUUUCAUGGUUCGCUGCAGCGACGAUUUGUUGUUUGGGAUAUUGGGUAAGUUUUAGGUAUGCCGCAUGCCACAGUCACUCCCAAGCACAUGUUGGCCGUGUCUCGAAUGAAUAUAGUUGGCCAGGCUAUAUUGACCCUAGACACGACUACAUAACUGCCCAGGUUUAACCGCAGUGUACAACACCCAUUUACUUAUGUUUUGUUCUACUUAUAGUUACGGAUUUCGACGGCUCGGCAUACUUAAAUACUUUUGAAAAUACUUAUAUCUUGUAGGAUACUUUUAGUUCAGAGCACUUAGGCCCCUUAAUGUUUAUAGUUUUAUACCAUGUAAGGUUUGGUAUACUCUGUUCACUAUAAACAAGGGCUCUGAUACCAAUCUGUCACACCCCGAAAACCAAAGGCGGAAACGUUCCCGGGGUUGACUCCACGUUGAGUAUCAAAUCCAAUGUACAUAGUAAUCACAGUAAACAACCAUUACAUUACAUAUAUAUGAAAGUUUACAUUUGGUUCAAAAGUAAAUUGUACAAAAGUUAUACAUAUAUCAUAUGAACAAAAGAGACGAGUCUUCGGAGCACUCCGUCUUCACCAAAAGAUAUCGCCGGGUACCUGUCUAACUUGGACCUGAGAAUACAAGCAGUUUGAAAAUCAGCAUAAAGCUGGUGAGUUCAUAAGCGGUUUUGUUUUGUGAAAAUGUAUCGGUUUCCUUUAGUUUUCUGAAAAGAUUUGAUAUCCAAGAAAAUCCCAUAUUUUCUUAUGUAAAGUAGUUAAGUUAUCUUUCGUUACAGUUCUGUUACAAGUUAUAAGUUAACCCCAGGAAAAUCCCAUAUUUUCCUAAAUGCAAGAUUGAUUGAAUAACACAUAGUAUAGUUUAAUAUACAAAACUAUAAUUUAGACGAACUGUAGAUAGAAAGUAUUUUGAAAACCUUGGGACUAACAUCCCGAACCAGUUAUAAGAUAAUUCGAUAAAGACCAUGGGAUCACUAUCCCGAAAAUAGAUAUAAGAUAGCUUGAUAAACCAUGGGAUCACUAUCCCGAAACUAGAUAUAUGAUAGAUUGAUAAAAUCAUGGGAUUAUCAUCCCGUAUAAGAUUUAGCUUCAAAACCAUGGGAUUACCAUCCCGAACGAGAUAUAGACACAAGAUCAUGGGAUUAUCAUCCCGAACGAGAUAUAGACAUAAAACCAUGGGAUUACCAUCCCGAACGAGAUAUAGAUACAAGACCAUGGGAUUAUCAUCCCGAACAAGAUAUAGAUUCUAAACAAAAUCCUAGCUGUGAAUAAGUUUAUAUUAAUACGUAUUGUGAGUCGGGUAACCAUGCUGAUAUGACAACGAGACCUCCUUGACGUUAGUCAGACGUCGAAUGAUAUACAUAAUUUGUCACCCCAGGCGUGCCCGCCUAACUGUAGCUAGCAGUUAAGGUGUGGGAUUGUCAGUCCCGAAUAGAUCUAUUCACAAAUUCCUCGCUCUCCCUCCAGGAGACUCUGGUUACACUUCCGGAGAGGAUUUACUUGAUCAUCCAUAAAGGGUAGUGACUAUCUCACAAGCUAGUAUUAAACUAUUCACAGGAUUCUCAUACGAUACGAAACAUACAAAGAUUUUAAGACAUGAUACAGUGAAAAUAGUUACAUACAAGAAACUAUCUGGCAAUACAUUCAAAUGAUACGGAGAUAAACUGAAUCAGACAUAGUUUAUCUAAUAAUUUAAUACAGAUAUCGAUACAUGAUAUAAAGAGAAACAUAGAACCCCAAAUUAUUCCCAUAAUAAUUUGAUUAGCUUGAUUAUUUUCUUAACUAAAAUCCAUUUAGUUGUAAUCGAUAAAUCAUUCCUUAUGCUCAACAUAAUACGUAAGGAGUAAAAGAGUUUAUAAGUUUGCCAGAUGUUAUUUGGAACAUAUAAAUGUUAUGGUUUGAAAACAGUUAU